AACGAACGCUGGCGGCGUGGCUAAGGCAUGCAAGUCGAACGGGACUCUCUUGGUAGUAAUACUGUGAGAGUUUAGUGGCGGACGGGUGAGUAAUGCAUGGGUAACGUACCUUAGGCUCAGGGAUAGCGGCGCCCUUCGGGGCUUUAGCGAAAGUGCCGGUAAUACCUGAUAAUAUCCAGAGGCCUCAUGGUUUUUGGAUCAAAGAUGGGGACCCUUCGGGGCCUGUCGGCCAAAGAUCGGUCCAUGUCCUAUCAGCUUGUUGGUGGGGUAAUGGCCUACCAAGGCUCCGACGGGUAGCCGGCGUGAGAGCGCGACCGGCCACAUCGGGACUGAGACACUGCCCGGACACCUACGGGUGGCUGCAGCAACGAAUAUUCCGCAAUGGGCGAAAGCCUGACGGAGCGACGCCGCGUGGGGGAUGAAGUCCUUCGGGAUGUAAACUCCAAUAGUAUGCCAGGAAGCAACCCGACCUAAUACGUCGGUGCGUUGACCAACAUACGAAAGGGGCGGCUAACUCCGUGCCAGCAGCCGCGGUAAGACGGAGGCCCCAAGCGUUGUUCGGAAUCACUGGGCUUAAAGUGCGUGUAGGCGGAACGGUAAGUACCUUGUGAAAUCCCCGGCUUCAACCCGGGAACUGCUCGGUAUACUGCCAUUCUUGAGGCAGGUAGGGGUCACUGGAACCUUAAGUGGAGCGGUGAAAUGCGUAGAUAUCUAAGGGAACGCCUGUGGCGAAAGCGGGUGACUGGGCNUGACNUGACGCUGAGACGCGAAAGCGUANGGAGCAAACGGGAUUAGAUACCCCGGUAGUCUACGCCGUAAACGAUGCGCACUAGGUUCGAGAACUUCUGACGGUUUUCGUGCCGAAACAAAAGCGAUAAGUGCGCCGCCUGGGGAGUACGGCCGCAAGGCUAAAACUCAAAGGAAUUGACGGGGGCUCACACAAGCGGUGGAGCAUGUGGAUCAAUUCGAAGCAACGCGAAGAACCCUACCUGGGUUUGACAUGCACGGAUGCUCUUGGUGAAAAUCGAGUAGGCUGCCUUCGGGUGAAACGUGCACAGGUGCUGCAUGGCUGUCGUCAGCUCGUGCUGUGAAGUGUCGGGUUAAGUCCCUUAACGAGCGCAACCCUCGCCCUUAGUUGCCAUCAUUAAGUUGGGCACUCUAGGGGGACUGCCGGUGA
rnacentral:rRNA from 1 species